rnacentral:rRNA from 1 species
AACACAUUAAGUGUACCGCCUGGGGAGUACGGUCGCAAGAUUAAAACUCAAAGGAAUAGACGGGGACCCGCACAAGCGGUGGAGCAUGUGGUUUAAUUCGAAGAUACGCGAAAAACCUUACCUGGCGUUGACAUUGAUAGAAUCCUGUAGAGAUACGGGAGUGCCGGCUUGCCGGAACUUGAAAACAGGUGCUGCACGGCUGUCGUCAGCUCGUGUCGUGAGAUGUUGGGUUAAGUCCCGCAACGAGCGCAACCCACGUCCUUAGUUGCCAGCAUUUCGGAUGGGAACUCUAAGGAGACUGCCUUCGCAAGGAGGAGGAAGGUGUGGACGACGUCAAGUCAUCAUGGCCCUUACGGCCAGGGCUACACACGUGCUACAAUGGGGCGUACAAAGAGCAGCAAUACCGCGAGGUGGAGCAAAUCUCAAAAACGCCUCCCAGUUCAGAUUGCACUCUGCAACUCGAGUGCAUGAAGUUGGAAUCGCUAGUAAUCGUAGAUCAGCAUUGCUACGGUGAAUACGUUCCCGGGUCUUGUACUCACCGCCCGUCACACCAUGGGAGUUGAUUUCACCCGAAGCGGGGAUGNUAAAGUAGUACCUUUCACGGUGAAUCAGCGACUGGG